GACGAACGCUGGCGGCGUGCCUAAUACAUGCAAGUCGAGCGAAGCGGCGGAUGGGUUAGUAACGCGUGGGUAACCUGCCCUUAAGUCUGGGAUACCUUUUGCAAACAGCUUCUAAUACCGGAUACUAACGGAUGGCCCUGCGGUGGAUUAGCUAGUUGGUAAGGUAACGUCUUACCAAGGCGAUGAUGCAUAGACGGUUUGAGAGCGUGAUCGGCCACAUUGGAGCUGAGACACGGCCCAGACUCCUACGGGAGGCAGCAGUAGGGAAUCUGCCACAAUGGGCGAAAGUCUGAUCGAGCAACGCCGCGUGAGUGAAGAAGGUUUUCGGAUCGUAAAGCUCUGUUGUUGGUGAAGCGGUAAUCAACCAGAAAGUCACGGCUAACUUCGUGCCAGCAGCCGCGGUAAUUC
rnacentral:rRNA from 1 species